AGUUCGCUUCGCUUGUGUGCAGUGGAAAUCCUUCUGCGCCGGGUUCGGCAAAGAAGAUUAGAGCGGAUAGCGGGAAAAAGC
rnacentral:sRNA from 1 species